GGCUGGAUAGCUCAGAUGGUAGAGCAGAGGACUGAAAAUCCUUGUGUCGCUGGUUCGAUUCCAGUUCCAGCCA
rnacentral:tRNA from 1 species